rnacentral:tRNA from 1 species
CGGGUAUUAGCUCAGCGGUAGAGCGCCCGCUUAGGCGGGAGGACGGGGGUUCAAUUCCUUCAUACUCACACA